GACGCACGCUGACGGCGUGCUUAACCCAUGCAAGUCGAAGGGAGUGGCGAACGGGUGAGUAACACGUGAGUAACCUGCCCUUUUCUUUGGGAUAAGCCUGGGAAACUGGGUCUAAUACUGGAUGGCUUGGGAUGGGCUCGCGGCCUAUCAGCUUGUUGGUGGGGUGAUGGCCUACCAAGGCGGUGACGGGUAGCCGGCCUGAGAGGGUGACCGGGGACAUUGGGACGGAGAAACGGCCCAGACGACGACGGGGGGCAGCAGUGGGGGAUAUUGCACAAUGGGCGAAAGAGUGAUGCAGCGACGACGCAUGGGGGAUGAAGGCUGUAGAGUUGUAAACCUCGUGAGGAAUCGAACGGGUAGGUGGAGAAGAAGCGCCGGCUAACUACGUGCCAGCAGCCGCGGUAAUUC
rnacentral:rRNA from 1 species